UAUAAGCAAGUAGAUCAAAGCAGGAGACAAGUGACACCUCUAGGGCCUCAAGUGCUGAGGAUGAUAAACUGGAAAGGUUUAUUUAUAUCUCACACCUUCAGGAUUUGUUUCACCAAAAAAGAUGCAUUGGCAAAAAAACAGACCCGCUCCCCGCUGUGCUCAGGAGAAAUGGAUUAAACAAGCCUUUUGAAGAGCAGCUGCCCGUAAGCUGCUCUGGGGACAGCUCAGCUCAGCUUUUCCUGUGUCUCCUGGAAGCAGGACAGACACCAAAACUCCCAGGAGCAAACCUGCAUGUGUAGGCAAAAUGCUGCCAUUGGGUGAGCGCUGCACCCGAGGUUUGAGUCCGAGGCAGCCAGGGCUGGAAAAGUCACCCGGGCCCCUGACAGCACAAUAAAGGCCUAAAACCUGUCAA